CGGGAGUGCAAGCGGAGCAGCGCCUGGUGGAACGAGCGGGGCUCUCCUUGCCCUGCUCGAGGAGUCACGUGACUCGGGCGGGAUGUAUUGAAGUGUCUGAAGUGGCUCGCGACCUCCAGCUGCGGCACAACGGUGCCUUGCGGGACGCCAUCCAUCGCGAGCCCACGAUUCAUCCAGAUGGGUUAACCUCUGCUUUCUAAUCAGCGGCCCGGUGGCCCUUUCUCCUCCUCUUCUCAUCACCGCACAGCGGUCAAUUGAAUUCCGACUCGGAACCAAGCCUCCCAAAAAAAGGGAAUCAUGAAAAAAUCAGUCUGCCGCGCAGUCUUUCUGAAGCAGA
rnacentral:lncRNA from 1 species